UCUCGAUAGCGUAAAAGUUAGCUCUGUUUUGUAUGGAGUUGGAACGUUUGCCUACGUUUGCCGCUAGGGGCACUGUCCCAACUGCAUACAAACGUGAGUUAACUUUUACGCUCUCGA
rnacentral:pre_miRNA from 9 species